GGGUGUGGCCAAGCGGUAAGGCAGCGGCUUUUGGUGCCGCCAUUCCCAGGUUCGACCGAUUCGUCGGGAACGAAUCGGGACCGCGAAGGCGGGCCCG
rnacentral:tRNA from 1 species